CUAGUGGAAAAAGGAUAUUGUGAAAAUGAAAUGAGUCAUCGGCCAUGAAUUCAGGGCUGUCCAAUAUUUACGUACUAUGUGAGCGAGCCCUACACCAUGAGCCAAGUGUGAUAAACAACAUGGGACCCCUUCAGGGCACCGCGGAAGGGGAAAGGGACCAUCCAGCUGGUCUUCACAGACAUAUCAGCUGGCCUAUGAGAAGAGGUUUGUGUGGGGACUCAAGGGGACAGCAUGGCGAGUGGUCAGUGCCUAUCUGGCCACUGGAAGAGGAUCCACAGGAGGCUUCCUGAAGGAGGCUGGGGCUGUGCAGAGGGCUCUCUGAACACUGAACAUGCCCGCAGAAGAAAAGGCUUUUUUCUUGGCUUCUUCAAAGAAGAUGCGCAGCUCCCUCCAGCCUCUGGAGAAUCAGCGAGGGAACAGUCUGUCUCGAAAUGCCAUUAAAACAUCUCUCAAAUUAAAACCA